rnacentral:rRNA from 1 species
AUGGACCUUGCGACGGGGGCCAUGGGCAGCCUGCUCCUCAAGCUUGGUGACCUCCUCACGAAGGAGUACAAGCUGCAGACGGGCGUCAAGGAAGAUGUUGAGUAUCUAAAGAGAGAGCUAGAGAGCAUGUAUGCUGCCCUCCGCAAGGUUGGGGACGUGCCACGAGACCAGCUCGACAAGCAGGUCAAGCUCUGGGCCAAUGAAGUCAGGGACUUGUCGUUCAUAAUGGAGGACAUCGUCGACAAGUUCCUGGUGCGCGUCGAGGGAGCUGAGCCAGCCAUCAAGCCACGCAAACUCAAGAAGCUCAUGAAGAAGAUGGGGGACUUGUUCAGCAAGAGCAAGACUCGCCAUGAGAUCUCGGAUGAGAUCAAAGACAUCAAGGUCCGCGUCAAGGAGGCGGCUGACCGACGUGAUAGGUACCGGGUCAACGAUGUGGCUGUUAAUCCAGUUGGCGCAAUCACUGUUGACCCUCGCCUAUUGGAUUUGUACAAGGACCAGAAAGAGCUCGUUGGUAUUGAUGAUUCAUUGAAUGAGCUAACCAAGAUGAUGAGUGAUGGGGAUGGUGAUGUGUCCAAGCAACUCAAGAUACUCUCUAUUUUUGGAUUCGGAGGACUUGGCAAGACAACUAUUGCCAAAGCAGUGUAUGAUAAGCUUAAAGCGCAGUUUGAUUGUUGUGCUUUUAUUCCGGUAGGACGGAACCCUAGCAUGAAGAAACUUCUCAAUGGCAUACUCCUUGAAAUUUCUGGGCAAAAAUACUUGGAGUUGGAUGAAAGGCAGCUAAUCAACAAACUCCAAGGAUUACUUGAGAAUAAAAGGUAUUUAAUUGUCAUUGAUGACAUAUGGGAUACAAAAACAUGGGAACUAGUCAAGACCGCUUUGGUGUGUAACAAUUGUGGAAGCAGGAUAAUCACAACUACUCGUAUACUCGAAGUUGCCACAAUGGCCAGUGAAGUAUACAAGCUACAACCUCUUUCUCUUGAUUUAUCCAAGGAUUUAUUUCAUAGAAGAUUAUCUUGUGCUGCAAUAGAAUGGCCUAAUCAUCUUCCAGCAGAGGUAUAUGAUAAAAUUUUACAUAAAUGUGGUGGUGUACCAUUGGCUAUAAUCACAAUAGCUAGUUUGCUUGGCGGCAAACCUGUGGAGCUUUGGUCUAAGGUAUACACUUCAAUUGGUUUUGGGGAUGAAGAUAACGAAGACGUGGAGAACACAAGAAAAAUACUUUUAUUUAGCUAUUAUGAUCUACCUUGUCACCUAAAGACUUGCUUAUUGUAUCUGAGCAUAUAUCCUGAAGAUCAUCUGAUUGAAAAAGAUAGUUUGAUAUGGAAGUGGGUCGCCGAAGGUUUUAUCCAAGAGGAACCAGGGGUAGGACUAUUCGAGAUUGGUGAGAGGUACUUCAACGAGCUGGUGAACAAAAGCAUGAUAAUGCCGGUAGAGGAGGCCCUGUAUUUAGGCAUGGAAAUGCAUGUUGGCGCCAUAACUGGAUGUCGCGUCCAUGACAUGAUGCUGGAUAUGAUAUGCGUAUUGUCAAAGGAAGAAAAGUUUGUUACUGUAUUGGACACUGAUGAGCAAUAUACAACUUCACAUUGCAACGAUCGUAGGCUAGCUGUUCAAUAUAUAGUCCGACCUCUGGCUAGCACGUCUACAUUACAAGCAAGGUCACUCAUUGCCUUGUGUAAUAUUGAGAUGUUGCCAUCACUUUCAUGCUUUGAAGCUUUGCGUGUUCUAGCUUUGGAAGGCCCCUAUGAUUCACACCAUCCUAGUCAUCUUGAGCAUGUUGGAAAGUUAGUUCACUUGAGGCACCUCAAACUAUCGAGCAUGGAUAUCGGUGAGCUCCCAAAGGAAAUAGGAUAUCUAAAGUUCUUGUUGGUAUUGGACUUAGGUAGAAAUAGCAUAAGUGAACUUCCAGAGAGUAUUGGUCGACUAAGUCAACUCAAGUGCUUGAACAUCUGCGAAACAGACAUUGAAGUGCCAUACUGGAUCGGAAAUUUGACUUCUCUAGAAGAGCUAAGCCUAGGAGAAGUUGACGAUGACAACUUUGUGACAGAGCUGGGCAAGUUGACAGAGUUGAGGAAGCUCUACAUUUCUGGAAUUUUAAAAUUAUCCAAUGAUCGUGCAAUGAAUGGUUGGGCGGAGUCUGUAGCCAAAGUGAGCAAGAUCCAAGUCAUAGACAUCAGUUUAGUUUUAGGGUGUAGAAUUUCCCAUCAUGAGGAGAACCCCUGGGAACGGUAUGCCCUCUCUCCACAACUCCGUUUUCUACACAUGGCCUACGAUGAACCUGGGCUGGUGGCAAGGAUCAAUCCCUCACUUCUUCCAAACUUGUCCCAUUUAAAACUGCGAAUAUUCGGUCCAGAUCUGGAGGUCUUUGGAAGUUUCCGCGAGCUUGUUUCCCUCAAGCUCGUCACGAGUUCAGCUCCACAUCAUGACACCAUGGGUGGUGCAGGUGCCUUCCCCAAGCUGAGGGUCUUCAAGACAGAAGCAACGCUUGGCUGGUUUCAAGAGGGAGAUAUGCCGGUCCUUGAAUCUCUUGAGUUCAGCGUUGUAGCAGAGUCCAAUGAUGAUGGCAUUAGCUUUGGCUUCGACUUUGGUAGCCUAGGGAACCUCCCUUUGCUUAAAGAAGUCAUAGUCACUUUAUAUGCCCCUCCUGUGGACCACAAGAAGGCCACGGAAACUGCGAAGCGUGCAAUUCAUGUGCUUCCCAACUGCCUUAGACAUUAUAUCACACUAGAGGAUAUAAAGAAGUUGGAGAUUCUCACGGAGCUAAGAUUGCCGUGCAUCUCCACCUGCGGGAAUCAAGGCUGA